AGAGGUGUCUGUGCUUCCCAGCUAGACCGGAGCUCGCUGCAGCCCCUCACUUUUUCCCCGGUCCUGCUUCAGGCCCCACUUCCUCUCUGCAGGUGCUUAGGCCGAAAAUCAGGAAUCUCUUGAAUGAAUGCAUGAAGGUGGAGCCCUUUCCCUUAAUGCGCAGGUGAAAAGGGCACCUCGGUGGAUUCUACUAAAUUUAAUAGAAGGUGUCUACUCCUGCAGGCUUACCUGUAACCUUUGUCACUCACUCUUCUGAUUCUGCAAACAUAUAAACCACGGAGCCACAGCCAAGAGAAUCUGGACUUGUUCGUUUUUCCUGAAAUAGGAUAUCUUAAAUAAUCCGUGGCUCAGCACUGCGCCCUUUUUUUUCUUUUCUUUUCUUUUUUUUUUUUUUUUUGAGACGGAGUCUCGCUCUGUUGCCCAGGCUGGAGUGCAAUGUCAUGAUCUUGGCUCACUGCAACCUCUGCCUCCUGGGUUCAAGCAACUCUCCUGCCUCAGCCUCCUGAGGAGCUGGGACUGCAGGUGCAAGACACCACGCCUGGCUAAUUUUUGUUAUUUUUAGUAGAGACAGUGUUUCACUAUGUUGGCCAGGCUGGUCUCGAACUCCUGACCUCAAAUGAUCUGCCUGCCUCGGCCUCCCAAAGUGCUGGGAUUACAGGCACAAGCCACAGCACCCAGCCUCACUGUGCCCUUUUCACUGGCAGGCAUUUUAUUGUCCCUACAGACCCAAGACGGGGUGGGGGAGACGUGCUUUGUGCUCACCUGGCUGGUUCAUGGGCAGGUGGCCUGGAGGACCCAGCCCUGGCAGCUGUGGGGUAGCUCCAGCCUGGGCCGGACAGCUUCUUUCAUCGCAGGCACCACUGCGGACAUUGCUGGGAGGAAGAGGAGGGAGAAGCGACGGGCUUCAUUAGGAACGGAAAUGCCAAGAUUAGUGAAAGAAUGAAAAGAGUCAAAACAGCCUAGAAAAGGCUUCAAUGAUCCUCAAACUGGAUGAUCGAAUCCCGAAUAAUUGGGAAUCAACAGUAAAGGCCAAAGCUUUCGAUGGAUUGGACGAGGCGCGUCCACCCUGGGGAGGGCCAUCAUUUUAUUCAGUCUACUGAUGCAAAUGCUUAUCUCUUCUGGAAACACCUUCACAGACAGACCCAGAAUAUAGUUGAACCAAAUACUGGGCACCUCAUGGCUCCAACAGGUUGACACAAAAAAUGAACCAUUGCAGAAAACGAAGAACAGUCACCAACUCCCACCCAUGCAGCUGGCUCAUUUGCUGGGCUGCCCUCCCCAGCAGGUGGCACAGGAAUCCCUGCCUUGGCAGGGAGGAGGCCUGGGGUGUGUGCAGGUACCCAUGGGAAGUUUCUUUGCCAUGGGGAAAGCCAGAGUCACCCCUUGCUUGAACACAAGAGUUGGAGGUUUCAGUGAGCUGAGAUUACGCUAUUGCACUCCAGCCUGGGCGGCAGAGUGAGACUCUGUCUCUAGAUAAAUAAAUUAAAUAAAUAAAUAAAUAUAAUUUAAUAUAAAUAACUAGAAAUUUUUCAAUACUUGCAUCUCUGUAGGUUACCUCUGGAAGUGCAGGGCUUUGUCUUUUUGGAUUAACUCAGAAAUUAGACCUUCAGAAA
rnacentral:lncRNA from 1 species